rnacentral:lncRNA from 1 species
CUCCCCUAUGACUGGGAUAUACACCAACGGGCUCUGUUUGCGUGUUUCAGAUGAAGGAACAUCACCUGCAUCUGCUUAGUGCUCAACAUAGACCUCAACCAUAUUAGCACCUCGCAUUGAAUCCAACAUCUCCAAUAUGUUGGCAUCACACCUUAAUUCCCUCAAGCCAUUUUGUAAUGUCUGUCCUGGCAUUAAGUGAUAAAAGUGGAUACAAUUUGUGU